AGUUACUUCUUUGCUAGGUUGAGGAAAGGGUGGAAGCGCCUCCUGCAGCCACGAAUAUCCUCCAGUGCCUGAGAGAAAACGGCCUAAUCGAAAACGUCCGCGGCAUACAUCCAUUCUUAAAACUUGAGUGGCUGCUUUUCUGGGUGGAAAAGAGCGGUAUCAGACAGGGUGAGCAGUCGGGGAACGGAUGAACAAAGACUUGCACCGUGGCCCUGAUGCCUUUGUUCCGAGUUCUAUUCAGUUGUACUUGUGCGUUGUUACAGGACUUUAGAAUGCAGCCCUGCCCCCCAACCCCCACCUCCCAGGGCCGACCUGUGCUCCUAGGAAGGCAAACCUCCCAGGAAUAUAUUCUGCAUAACUAUACAAAUAGGCCUUUAUUCAAGGCUUUUGGAUUAUGACAAAGAUUACCCUCAGGAGUAGUAAGAUUCUACUAGCAGGAUAAUAGAAAGGAUUAAGGCUCCCCUCCAAAGAAAAUUUUUUUAAGUUAGAAACGGAGGCGAGCCGCAGUGGGUCAUGCCUGUAAUUUCAAUGCUUUGGAAGGCCGAGGUGGGAGGAUAGGAUAGCUUGAGGCUAGGAGUUCGAGACCAGCCUGGGCAACAUGGGGAGACCCCCCCCCAUCCCUCCAAAAAAGAAAAGAAAACUGGAAAGCCUUAAAGAAACCUUUCAAACUUUAGUGUGUAUCAGAAUUACCUGAAAGGUUUGUUAAAACAGAUUGCUGGGCCAUACCCCCAGAAUUCUCUGACUGGGCUAUCGGAAAUAAUGCCUGAGAAUGUGCAUAUCUAAUAAGUUCCUAGUUCCACUUUAGGACCCUAGAAGGUUAGUAUCUUUCCUCUCUACCAGGCUUAUCUUAGGAUGAACCGUUCGGGGUUUGCUGAUGUGAAGCUAAAACAAAAAUAUUCUUUAAAAGGAGGGAUGUCUUAUUCAGUCCAUAAGAUCAUCUAAUGUAUUAAGCUGGCUUGGGGGAUGAAUCGGGUGUUUCAUUCAUUCAUUUGACAGGUAAGCAUUGCUUACCUACUCUAUUAUGACGGGGUCUGUGCUGACUCCGAAUAUUCGGUGGGAUGCAAAAUAGUUAAGUGCUCUUGUAGAGUUUACAGAUUAGCGGAAAACAGACAAAUUGUGUUAAGAGCAAUAGAAAGAAGAGAGCGGAGGACUCUGAGAAAUGAAGGCGAGGAGUGGGAGAAUGAGAGGAAGGUGGAAGGCAGGUAAGGAGUCUGACCAGCUGGUAUUUAAAAGCUAAGAUGGGGGGAAGAGUCUCCCAGGAGAGUGAACAGCAAGUGUCAAGGACCUGAGGCAGGAACAAGCUUGGCUUCUUCCACAAAUUGAAAGAAGAUCCAUAUGAAAGAGUCAGAGAAGAUGCAAUGGGAGAUGAAGACUGAGAGAUAAGGAAGAGUGAAACAGUGCAAGAAUUUGUAGACUGCUCUAAGCAUUUUAAAGUUUAUCUUAAAAGCAGCUUGAUAAAUUAGAUUUAUGGUAAUUAGUUUAAAAAUAAAAAUAAAGCAACUUGAAAGGAUUUAGGCAAGAAAAAGUUGUGUCUGCUUUGUAGAGAAUGGCUCCAGCAGAGUCCAGAUUGAAUCAUACAUUGUAUGAUAUUCUGUGUUCCGGAGUUCGCAGAUAGAAGUAUGUGAGGGCCAGCAUCCAAAUGGAAUCAGUAACAAUGCCUGGAUUUUAUUCAGAUGCUGUGUACCCAGCCAAAAGACUACAUUUCUCAAUCUCCAUUGUAGCUGGAUGUGGCUGUGUGAUCAAGUUAUGACCAAUGAGAUAUAAGUAGAAGUAGCUUGGCCAGACACAGUGGCUCACACCUGUAAU
rnacentral:lncRNA from 1 species